UGCAGGCAUUGCUUGAGUAUUUGCAGAAACAUGCAGGCACGUUGGUACAUGGACACUUCCCUUAGAAAAGAGUUGUCUCACCUUAGUCUGCAACAGAGUUGGGUCUGGUUUAGGCCACCAUGCAAACCGCCAAGCCCUGUUAUUUCUUCUGCAGCUCUCUUAUGCGAUGAGACCAGGGUGUAAGCCUUAACCCUCCUGUACAGGAAGAGAAAGCAAGCCCUAGAGGAUGACUUCACUGGAUGUGCCUGCUUUUCUGAUUCCUGCCUCCUGAGCCUACUGCACAGCAGUAAAAUAGUCCAGCUCUCCCGUUCUUCAGUCAUAUGAAGCCAAAGAUGAAAAUAGAUCUAUAAUGUUAACACUAGUAAAGGCUACAAAACCAGGCCCUGGCACUGAGCACCUGCUGCAAUUAAAGCAAUGGCAUUUGGCUGCUGUGAGGUCUAUUCUUUAUGAAGUCUUAUUUGAUUGUAGACUAAUGAACCCAUCAAUUCAUCACAGCACUUCUAUUACCCUACUGCUGUUGUGGGAUAUUGUAUCGCUGAGCUUGGAUUGUCUGGCAUUAUGUUGAUUCAGCACAGAAAUGCACAAUAGGAACUGGGAAGAAAAUAAAACCCAGGACCGUAAGAGGAAUUGCCUUUAAGGUAUCAAUACAAAGUUUGAGCAGUCAAGAACCAAAUAUGAUAAUACUGACAGUCUUCACAUGUUUCUUGAAAAAACAUUUUGGUGUUGAAUUUGGACAGUGAACACUAACAAAGGAACAUACUGAAAAUAAAAGAAACUAGACUGUUCUUUGUAAUUGUGUCAGAGGAAUCACAAUGUCUAUAUAAGUAUAUAAACAGAGGCUCUGCAAACACAAACAAGAGGAACAGAGAUGUCUGAAAUAAAUAACAUGCUUAUAAAGAAACACAGUUAACAGAUAGGGAUGAAUACAACCUUGUCAAAUUACUAUUCCUUGGAAAAAGAGUUUAAAAUUCCCAAUACUAGCAGGUCAACAGAAGAAAGAAAAUUGUUUAAAUUUAGGCAACACAAGUCCCUGGAAAAAAGUUUCUAAGUUCCAAAAAGUUAAACUCCUUUCCAUCCAGCACAACCUCCGUCUGAAUUUAGCCACGAACUCAUUCACUUUUUUUUUUAAGCCAGCUGUUACAACACAUGUAGUACUCUGAUUAUCCAAGCAUCUCAGUUCUAGGACAAGAUUGUUUUUCUGAAGUGUGUAAUCUGAUGCCACAGUGCAGACAAGUGAUUUGGGCAGCCUGGGCAUUUUAAUACCGUGUCCAUCUGCUGCACAUGUACUGACAUGAGUUCUUCUGGAUGUGGGAGAUGGAGCAUCUAGAGCAGGUGUAAACUAAUCUUUAAAAACAAGGCCAACAAUUAGCUAGUAAACAGCGGUGCUGUAAGUCUAAUUAAUUAAUGUUUGAAAAUGUUCUGAGAUUCUUCAGAUAGAACAUAUUACAAACAUGAAAAAUAUUAUAAGUAAUCUUAACUGAUAUAUUAAUAACACAGAAGGUAGGAAUGCAGUCUUGUUCCAAAAAAAGCCUCGUGAAGGGUUUCUCUUGCAGCAGGUUUACUAACAGAAGCAACUGACUGCAAAACAAGUACAAAGCUCUGCUCCUAGCUGUGGUGCCCCAGGAAGGCAGCAAAGCUCGUGCAUAGAAGCAAUUUUUGUUGCUGUUUGCUUGCAAGGGAAUCAUGUGCUCCAUCCACGUUCAGACGAGUCCCUGGAGGUCUGUGAGCCUUUGGCUUCAUUCAGCCUGUCUCCUCAGUGUCCACAAUGAGAUCUUGUCACUGCUCUGCUGCUGCAACCCACAAAACAAGCAAGUGGCUUAAUAACUAAGAGAAAUACUUUAGCUGAAGAAACUUCUGGAUUGGAGUGUGACUCCUUCAUUGCAGAGGGUACAGGAAGGGCAGCAGAAGACCACCAGCCCCAUGAGACUUGCUCUACCAUGAAUAUGGGUAACAGGAUCGUUGUUUGCCCUUGGUCUCUUCUGGGGUCAUGUUCAGGCAUCUUUCAUCUCUGAAUACAGUGAUCCAGCAUAAAAGAUUUGUGCCCUCUCUGAAAGCUUGCAGACUACCCUUUCCAGGGAACUACCAUCCAGGUACUCUCCCUCUCACCCAGUUCAGCCCUGGAGGGUGGGACUGAGUAAAUGAGAGUGAGAGGGUGAGGCAGAAGAUGGCGUUCACAGAUCCUUUCUGCAGCUGGAAGUCCAAGGCAUGCUGGAGGAGAUGUUGAGGUCUGACAGGGUCCCAACAUGGCGGAAAGCCGGUGGUUUUGGUGAUACGUUGCAGAGCACAACAGGAUGAUGGCACCUCUGCAGAAUGACUUCUUGCGUGUUGCAUACCAAAUACGCUGAGAAAGCAAAUAAACUGACAGUGACUGGGAAAUGACAGAUCCAUGCCCAAGCUGUGAAGAGCUGCCGUCACUCCUGUGUCCUCAUCUCUUCAAAAGCCUGCUCAGGCUUUUGAAGUGUUGAGGUCUUCCUGUUUUCUUCCUCGUUUGUGCCUUUCUGCUUGAAUCGUGGGGACCCCCUUGCCAUGCUGAUUUGGAAGGAACUGAUGCCUGCCUGGCUGAGCAAAGUGACCACAUGUGGGCACUCCCCAGCCAAGCAAAACCCCAGAAAGGCUACCCUCCUUACACUGACAUUCACUCAUCAUUAUUCAGAACUAAGCAGCUGUUUUGGUAGAAAAAUAAACCAGCAGUAACAAAGUUGGCUCAGAAGGGCAUGCGGGAAGGGGGUAGGAGCCCUAGCUCAGAGCAGGGGCAUGGAUAGAGAAGUGGGUAA